rnacentral:rRNA from 1 species
AAUCAACGCUGGCGGCGUGCCUAACACAUGCAAGUCGAACGCGAAAGCCCCGCAAGGGGUAAGUAGAGUGGCGCACGGGUGAGUAACACGUGGAUAACCUGCCUUUGAGUGGGGAAUAACCUUCCGAAAGGAGGGCUAAUACCGCAUAACACCUUUAGACAAAAGUCAAAGGGUUAAAAGGAGCAAUUCGCUCAAAGAGGGGUCCGCGCCUGAUUAGCUAGUUGGUGAGGUAACGGCUCACCAAGGCUCGAUCAGUAGCCGUCCUGAGAGGGAGCACGGCCACACUGGAACUGAGACACGGUCCAGACUCCUACGGGAGGCAGCAGUGGGGAAUUUUUGGCAAUGGGCGAAAGCCUGACCAAGCAACGCCGCGUGGGUGAUGAAGGUCUUC